rnacentral:misc_RNA from 1 species
UUUUCUUUUAAGAAGUUAAUAAAAUAAAAUAAAUUUAUUUAUAAAACAGUUAAUAAGCCUAUAGUAUUUUUUGAUAAAAGUAAAUUUUAUAAAAUUAAACUGAAAUUAAAUAAAUUUUAUAAAAGAAAUUAAAGUUAUUGAUUUUUAUAAAAACAUUCAAAAGUUGGGUGACCGCAUCCACUAGUUACCCGAAACUAAAGGAAAAAGUAACAUGUUUAUUAUCUUUGUAGUUUAUGGCAUUUCACUGAUAAGAAACGAGAACUUUUGAGGUCCACUGCGCUUGAUCGAUCCAAGGAUGCAGGAUGAUUUCUGCACCUUCUAUGUUUGCCAAUAUUGUUCAAAACACAAAAUUCUAAUAUAUACCGAUAAUAGCACAGUAGUAUCUAGAAGAAAGGUAGCAGAAAGAAUAUGGAGAACUGUAAUUACAUGUAAUAAAUAUAAUUCAAGUAGCUAGCUUGUACCUUUACGUCAAUGAAGUCCCUGUCAAAGUUUCUUCAACAAAUAACAUAUAUUACCAUUACCAUACAGUUGCCCUUAUUGUUGCUUGUUACUAAUGCUUUUGUAUUCAGUAGUGGCAUGGUUUUGCCAACCAUCAUUCAGUUUCUUGGAGGAUGGCCCUUGGUUCUUGUUUCUGGUAGUCCAAUGAACAGUUCAGUCUCCACAUCUGAAACUAGGCUACUUUCUUCACAGUAUCGAGUUUCUCCCACCACUUUCAAGCCUUCCCAUGGUUGGACACCACACUUCUCAGAUAACCUUGCAUUUUCAGCUGCCAAUUGGCUCUCCUUUUCUUUUAGUCGCUCAAUCUGUUCUUUGAAAACCUGGUUCUUUCUAGCUCUAACGUUGCUAACGCUCCUCUCCAACUGUUGUUCUAUCUGCUGUAGCUCUUCAAUUGUGCAGGAACCCAAGCAUUCUCCCAGUAGUUUCCGUUUUGCAAUUUCAAGGAGCUCUAUAUUCUUCACCAUGUUCGUUGCUUCCGUCUUCAGUUGCUGCCAUUUCAAAUUUAAGACAGAAAAUUAAGAGAGGAUAUCCAUUGGUGACCACGGAAGAGAAACAACAGUCAACAGAGACAAGAAAAUUUUGUAGAUUUUCUUGGAGGGGAUCAAGCAAGUUUGAACUAUACUAUUGGAUAUGCAUAUAGCGACUGGGUCAUACCUGCUAGCAUAUGGAGAAGACUGCAACUAUAGAAAAGCUAUUGGGUUAACCAGAAAGACCACGAGCGCACUUCUGUUUCGAGCAUGGUAUGCAUUUAAGUCUCUGGUCACAAUCUACUAUAUAUUCCUUAGUAGAGAGCUACCAAAUUACCAAUGCUAUGGAGACUAUCUUGAAAGCAAUUUCAAGAUUUCAACAAGCAAAAACCAUUCCAAAAAGCAGAUAUUUAGGGCCAUAUUAAUUCAGUAACAAGUAAUUUCUGACAUGGAGCAAGAUCUAAUUUCUCAUCAAAAUGAACAUUACUGGCGCUAAAUAACACAAUGCACAGUUUUGGUAGAAGAUGAUUCUUGAAACAUUCAUUUCAUCCUUAAAAAAAAAAGAAAGAUGUAAGCUGGUAAUGAUAGAUGGAAGAACAAAUAAAGAUUAACCUGCAUGUUUUCAUCGGAUAUUUUCCUGCUGAUUUGAGUGUCUUUCACAUGUUUACGAUAACGCUCAAUUGUCGCCUGCAUUCUGGAGUUUGCAAACUCACAGAGCUUCCCUCUUGGAGAGAAGAUGAUAAGGGCAACCUCCGCAUCGCAAAGAACCGACAGCUCAAAGGCCUUUUUCAGCAACCCAUUUCGCCGCUUGGAGAAGGUGACUUGCCUGCUUGUGGCGUUCUCUAUGCGCCUCAUUUGAGUCUUUCCUCUCACCAUCUCAAUAGGCUACCCAGAAAGCCUCUUUAGGUGAAGAGAGGAAGAAGCAAAGAAAUCUGAGAAUUUGUGAGCAAAGACCACAAACCCAAAUAGAAGGAAAGCCCCAGAAAAGGAAGAUAAGCCAAAAGCGGAAGGUAGACAAGGAAAUCUGAGGGUUCCAAAUAGGCAAAGACCCAGAAAGCCUGUGAAUAGUGGAGAGAAAAAUAGAUUCCAAAAGAAGAAAUAGAAUGUAAGAAGUAACUAAAAAAAUCUGAUGUUUGCAAGCAAAAACCAGACCAGAAAGUUACAUAUAUAUAUAUAUAUAUAACAAGCUACAGUUGGCAUGGAGAAUACAAGAACAAGCAAUGCAGUCUUCUGUUGUUAUUAUAAAUUAUUCUUAAAAUUUGCACUGUAUCUUCCAUAUGAUGUGUCCUUAGUUUACUCCCAUGCAUGAGAUGAUUUCAUGAUAUUCUGUCUUUUGUGGCCUGGCUUCUGCCAUGGAUUUUUGUUAAGUGAACAUUAGCUUUGCCCACGUGUAUUCUUCUGUGCAAGUUUUUGAUGAACUUGGCUUCCUACACACUGAUGGAUCUCAUGAAUAUUUGCUCAGGCAGAUGUACAUGCUUAUAUGUUGCAAUUUUUUAUUAGUUGAUCAUUGAACAUUAUGUCUUUAACUGAUUUUGUUUUUAUAUGAGCUUUCUUUGUAUGUUUGAGGACAGAAACAUUGUUGAGAUGCUAUUGCAGUUGUAGUGAUAGGCCAUACUGCAUCAUAAAUUUUUUAUUUGCAAAUGAUCCUGAGUGCAUGCACUGUGUGUGUUGAUAUGUUUGUGAUUUGGUGAGAGAAACUUUCCCUCUGAAGACCUAGUGUGAUGUAAUUUCAUUCAACACAGGAAAAUCAGCAGAUAUCCAUUAUGGAACUGGUGCUAUUUCUGGCUUCUUUAGUCAAGACCAUGUAAAAGUUGGUGGUCUUGUGGUCAAGGAUCAGGAAUUUAU